GUCCAGCUGACGAGUUCCAAAUCCGACGAAACACACGUCCUGGAU
rnacentral:hammerhead_ribozyme from 1 species